rnacentral:rRNA from 1 species
AAUCAACGCUGGCGGCGUGCCUCAGACAUGCAAGUCGAACGAUUAAAGCUCUCUUCGGAGAGUGUAUAGAGUGGCGCACGGGUGAGUAACACGUAAGUAAUCUACCUUUGAGUGGGGAAUAACCCGGGAAACCCGAGCUAAUACCGCAUAAUGCAGCGGCACCGCAAGGUGACAGUUGUUAAAGGAGCAAUCCGCUUAAAGAGGAGCUUGCGGCAGAUUAGCAGUUGGUAAGGUAAUGGCUUACCAAGGCUUCGAUCUGUAUCCGGCCUGAGAGGGCGGGUCGGACACACUGACACUGAAUAACGGGUCAGACUCCUACGGGAGGCAGCAGUCGGGAAUUUU